GACAGAGGGUGCGAACGUUGUUCGGAAUUACUGGGCGUAAAGCACAUGUAGGCGGCAGCGCAAGUCGGGCGUGAAAUCCCACGGCUCAACCGUGGAAGUGCACUCGAAACUGCGCAGCUAGAGUCCUGGAGAGGAAGGUGGAAUGCUUGGUGUAGAGGUGAAAUUCGUAGAUAUCAAGCGGAACACCGGUGGCGAAUGCGGCCUUCUGGACAGUGACUGACGCUGAGAUGCGAAAGCGUGGGGAGCAAACAGG
rnacentral:rRNA from 1 species